UGGGGAAUUUUGCACAAUGGGGGAAACCCUGAUGCAGCGACGCCGCGUGAUUUAGAAGGCCUUCGGGUUGUAAAAAUCUUUUUUACGGGAUGAAAAUGACAGUACCGUAAGAAUAAGGUCCGGCUAAAUACGUGCCAGCAGCCGCGGUAAUACGUAUGGACCGAGCGUUGUCCGGAAUCAUUGGGGGCAAAGGGUACGUAGGCGGCCUAAUAAGAUAGAAGUGAAAGAAUAUAGCUCAACUAUAUAAAGCUUUUAAAACUGUUAGGCUUGAGAGAUGAAAGGGAAAGUGGAAUUCCUAGUGUAGCGGUGAAAGGCGCAGAUAUAAGGAAGAAUACCGGUGGCGAAGGCGACUUUCUGGUCAUCAUCUGACGCUGAGGUACGAAAGCGUGGGUAGCAAGCAGG
rnacentral:rRNA from 1 species